GGCGGCCCCCGGCCGGUGCGGGCCCGAGGGCUCUGAAGUUGCGGCAACGCCCCGCUUCUCCCGGCUUGCCCGGGGCCUUUCCGUUGCACGGCUGUUCCGUUUCCUUCCAGUUUCAGGUCUGAAAGGAAAAGAGAGAUCUGAUUUAUAUUGGCUUUUGUGAUGGGUAUCAUAUCCUGAUGGCUGCAAGCAUAAUUAAGGAAACAUUUGAUAAGAAGGACUACUUACCUGGACGAAAAAUCACCCAUCGGGUACAACGUGCACAGGUGGGAGGCAUGAAAAAGGUCCUCAAAUGGAAGAUGGAAGA